CUUAUGUAGUAAUUAGACCAUUAGUUAGUGAUGGACAAAAAAAUGGACAUAAAAUAAGUGAAAUAGGAAUUUUUUUAAGUAAGGGUAUUUUAGUCAUCUAGCAAAUAAAUAGAAUUAAAAUGGGAAAAAGAUGUAAAAAUGGGUUUCAUCAUCUUUGUUGCUGUCGAAAAUUUAAAGAAGCCAUAGCUAGGGUUUCUUUACUUCUUCAAGCUCAUAAUCAAGAGAGACGUGGAAACAACCUCGAUAAGGGAAAAGAAAAGAUUGUGGAUUGAAUUGUAAAAUUUCUUAUAUUUUGCAUCGAGUGAUAUCAAUCAGCUCGGAAAUUGGACAGAGUCGGAACAUCAUCCACACUAUCUACAUCUUUUGUAAAUGGAUCUUGACCGAGCUGUAGCAGAUGAUGUAGAAAGUAAUGUGCCGGCUCCCACGCAAGGGACCGCGCCUGAGAAAAAUAGACAUGAAACACAAAGUCAGGAUGGGGCUCGAGAAGCCUUUCUUCAUAUGAUGAACAAUUGGUACACUGAAUUUAUUCGAGCAAAUCCGAAUGCACAACCUCCUCCACCCCCUCCUAUUCCCCAACCAGUUCCUGUAGCUUCACAAGGUGUUGAAUUGGUAAAACCGAGUAAACCCCCAGUUGAUAAAAUCCGAAAACAAGGGGCGAAAGAUUUCAGGGCUAAUAUAGAUGAUGAUUCUGAGAAGGCAGAACUUUGGCUUGAAAACUCUAUCCGGGUAUUUGAUGAAUUAUCAUGUACUCCUGAAGAAUGUUUAAAAUGUGCUAUAUCCUUACUGAAAGAUUCAGCAUAUCGUUGGUGGAAAACAUUGGUAUCUGUGGUUCCGAAAGAAAGGGUUACAUGGGAUUUCUUCCAGGAGGAAUUCAGAAAAAAAUACAUAAGCCAAUGGUUCAUCGAUAAAAAACGUAAGGAAUUUCUUGAGUUGAAGCAAGGUCAAAUGUCUGUGGCAGAGUAUGAAAUAGAGUUUGUUAGACUGAGUAAAUAUGCUCAAGAGUGUGUGCCCACAGAAGCUAUUAUGUGUAAAAGGUUUGAAGAUGGGUUAAAUGAAGAUAUCAGAAUGUUUGUUGGGAUGUUAGAACUGAAGGAAUUUGUGGUACUGGUUGAUCGAGCUUGCAAGGCUGAAGAAUUGAAUAAAGAGAAGAGAAAAGUUGUGAUUGAGGCUCGAGAUGCAAGAAAGAGACCAAUGAGUAAAUCAUUUCAAACUCAGUCAAAGAAGUCUAAAGAGAUGAAUCCUCGAUUGACAAUUUCAACUGGAUAUUCACGCCGAGACUGGGGAAAAUCAUAUUCGAGUCCUGAAGCUCAAGCUACUUCAGUAGCAAGUGUGGGGAGUAUGAAGCCUAAUAAACCUGAGUGUCAGCAUUGUGGUAGGCAACAUCCUGGUGAGUGCUGGUUACUUAGCCGAGCUUGUUUCAAGUGUGGUUCUCGACAACACUACAUUAAAGAUUGCCCUGAGAAAGUUGAAGAAGAAAAAUUUCAGAAUGUUAGAUCGGGUGAUACUGUUAACAGAGGUAGACCACUGAGAAAUACCGGAAGCAGAGCUAGUGGUAAAAGUGUAAUGAAAGAUACAGCUGUGAGACCAGAACAUCGAACACUUACUCGAGCUUAUGAUAUACGUACUCGUGAGGAAGCAGCAUCUCCUGAUGUGAUUACUGGUACAUUCUCUCUCUAUGAUACUGAAGUUAUUGCUUUGAUUGAUCCCGGGUCUACUCAUUCUUAUGUAUGUGUGAAUUUAGUAUCUAAUAAGAAUUUGCCUGUUGAAAAUACUGAAUUUGUGGUUAAAGUGUCAAAUCCUUUAGGCAAAUAUGUGGCAGUCGAUAAGGUUGGCAAGAAUUAUCCUUUGAGGAUUCAAGGUCAUUGCUUCCCGGCUAAUCUAAUGUUGUUACCAUUUGAUGAGUUUGAUGUUAUUCUGGGGAUGGAUUGGUUGAUGUUGCAUGAUGCCAAGGUAAAUUGUAGGCAGAAAAUCCUUGAAUUGAAGUGUGAAAAUGGUGAAAUUCUUCGGGUUGAAACAGAUGAAUCAAGUAAAUUGCCUACGGUGAUUUCGAAUAUAUCGGCUCAAAAAUACAUGAGAAAAGGGUGUGAAGCUUAUCUUGCUUAUGUGAUAAAUACUAAGAUAUCGGAGUCGAAGCUUGAAUCGGUACCGGUAGUCUGUGAGUUUCCAGAUGUAUUUCCAGAGGAAUUGCUUGGGUUACCUCCGAUUAGGGAAGUUGAAUUUGCUAUUGAUCUGUUACCUGGUACUGCACCGAUCUCUAUUGCUCUGUAUAGAAUGGCUCCAACUGAAGUGAGAGAAUUAAAAGAUCUGUAACAGCCCGAUUUUGGGCCUAGUCGGAACAGUGGUUUCGGGACCACAAAUCCGACGAGAUCAAGAAAGACGAGGAGACAACCUCAAUCGGGGAAAAGUGAAGAUCGCAGAGUAAAUUGCAAAAUUACAAUAUUUUGCACCGAGUGACAUCAAUCAGCUCGGAAAUUGGACGAAGUCAGAACAUCAUCCACACUAUCAUCAUCUUUUGGGUAUUUUGCAACCAAUACUUUGAAACAUGGCAUGUAUAGAUGACUUAAUGUAAUGAAGUAUAAAUAUGUAUAUAAAAUAUUGUUCAGUUUAAAAUGUUGGUGUUUAUUAUUGGAUAAAUUGUGUCUGAACAUAUAACUGUAUUUGGUUGAAAUAUUGAAAUCGUUUGAAAUUGUGUUUUGAAAA